GUCUAUGGCCAUGUCAGCCUGAACAAGCCCGAUCCCAUCUGAUCUCGAGAAGCUAAGCAGGGUCGGGCCUGGUUAGUACUUGGAUGGCAGACCACCUAGGAAGACCAGGUGCUGUAGGCG
rnacentral:rRNA from 1 species